CCUACGGGGGGCAGCAGUGGGGAAUAUUGGACAAUGGGCGAAAGCCUGAUCCAGCCAUGCCGCGUGUGUGAAGAAGGCCUUCGGGUUGUAAAGCACUUUCAGUGGGGAAGAAAGCCUUGGGGCUAAUACCCUCGAGGAAGGACAUCACCCACAGAAGAAGCACCGGCUAACUCCGUGCCAGCAGCCGCGGUAAUACGGAGGGUGCGAGCGUUAAUCGGAAUUACUGGGCGUAAAGCGCGCGUAGGCGGUCUGAUAAGCCGGUUGUGAAAGCCCCGGGCUCAACCUGGGAACGGCAUCCGGAACUGUCAGGUUAGAGUGCAGGAGAGGAAGGUAGAAUUCCCGGUGUAGCGGUGAAAUGCGUAGAGAUCGGGAGGAAUACCAGUGGCGAAGGCGGCCUUCUGGACUGACACUGACGCUGAGGUGCGAAAGCGUGGGUAGCAAACAGGAUUAGAUACCCGGGUAGUC
rnacentral:rRNA from 1 species